UAGUUCAAAACUGAAAAGUCGCAUUUGAAGACGAAACGUUUUGACUCUUUAGACGAUUCUUUCAAACAGAGUAUUAUAAAUACACGUGACUGGCAGGUCAUCUGGGGCAUGCAUCUUGAAGGAGUCCGAACGAUACAUCACAAUGGGAAUAAGUAGUUCCAAAAGUUCUAUAGAGGAGCAGCCGUAUUCUAGACAGGAGACAGUCGAGAUCAUUAGCAAGCGAACCAUUGGCAAACUAAUCGUGAAGCAUUGCGGUAACGAAGGACAGGCAGACGAUCCGACACUUGUCGUAACUCUCAGACGAAUACUCCAAGCGACGAUCACAAAACUCGACACGGAAUCAGAGGAGACGUGGAGGAAUGCAGAGAUCGUUAUUUACGAUCAGGAAGGAAACGAUUUCUGUAUUCGAUCGGGAGAUUUUGAAAACAAGUUUGUCGUUCAACUCGACGAAAAAGAUGAGAUUAACAUAACGUGCACGGAUAGAAA